rnacentral:rRNA from 1 species
UGGGGAAUAUUGCACAAUGGGCGCAAGCCUGAUGCAGCAACGCCGCGUGAGGGACGACGGCCUUCGGGUUGUAAGCCUCUUUUAGUAGGGAAGAAGCGAAAGUGACGGUACCUGCAGAAAAAGCACCGGCUAACUACGUGCCAGCAGCCGCGGUAAUACGUAGGGUGCGAGCGUUGUCCGGAAUUAUUGGGCGUAAAGAGCUCGUAGGCGGUCUGUCGCGUCUGCUGUGAAAACCCGAGGCUCAACCUCGGGCCUGCAGUGGGUACGGGCAGACUAGAGUGCGGUAGGGGAGAAUGGAAUUCCUGGUGUAGCGGUGGAAUGCGCAGAUAUCAGGAGGAACACCGAUGGCGAAGGCAGUUCUCUGGGCCGUAACUGACGCUGAGGAGCGAAAGCGUGGGGAGCGAACAGGAUUAGAUACCCUGGUAGUCCACGCCGUAAACGUUGGGCGCUAGAUGUGGGGACCAUUCCACGGUUUCCGUGUCGCAGCUAACGCAUUAAGCGCCCCGCCUGGGGAGUACGGCCGCAAGGCUAAAACUUAAAUGAAUUGACGGGGUCAUAGCUGUUUCCU